AUUUCUCACAGUUCUGGAGGCCAAAAUAAAAUAAAGGAGCUAAGAACUGGGAACAGAAAGAUGCAACUCCUGCCUUCGUGGAGUAUAUUCCAGUAGAAGAGUCAGGAACAAACAGGCAUAGUGAUUCUGCUCUUCUGAUCAAUCCUGAUUGACACAGCCACAGUUAAAGAAAAUGGAAAGAGCUCCUGUUCAUUAACUAAUUUGAGAUGAACAGUGCUUUCAAUAUUUCCAAGGUAUGCUGAUAACCACAGGACACAUUUGAAUAUUCCAUAUAGCCAUAUUUUUCUUAUG
rnacentral:lncRNA from 13 species